rnacentral:tRNA from 1 species
GCCCGGCAUAGUCGAGCGGUGUGACGCGGCUGUUGCAGCCGGCCGGCCUUCCCCGUUCGCGCCGGGAACGAGCG